rnacentral:rRNA from 1 species
GUGGGGAAUAUUGGACAAUGGGCGAAAGCCUGAUCCAGCCAUGCCGCGUGUGUGAAGAAGGUCUUCGGAUUGUAAAGCACUUUAAGUUGGGAGGAAGGGCAGUAAGUUAAUACCUUGCUGUUUUGACGUUACCGACAGAAUAAGCACCGGCUAACUUCGUGCCAGCAGCCGCGGUAAUACGAAGGGUGCAAGCGUUAAUCGGAAUUACUGGGCGUAAAGCGCGCGUAGGUGGUUUUGUAAGUUGGAGGUGAAAUCCCCGGGCUCAACCUGGGAACUGCCUCCAAAACUGCUGAGCUAGAGUACGGUAGAGGGUGGUGGAAUUUCCUGUGUAGCGGUGAAAUGCGUAGAUAUAGGAAGGAACACCAGUGGCGAAGGCGACCACCUGGACUGAUACUGACACUGAGGUGCGAAAGCGUGGGGAGCAAACAGGAUUAGAAACCCUGGUAGUCC